GGGAGAUUUCGGAAGUCUUGGCACCGGCCCUGGCUGCAGCGGUUGGGCUGGGCUGGGCUGAGCUGAGUUGAAGGCGCGAGUGGCUGAAUCGGGAAGGAGGACCCCCGAGGAUCCCCGAGCUUUCUGAUCGUGGCGUGCUGAGCUGUUGCCUUCUGUCCGAUCCCCGACCCGCAGACAGAGAUGGAGAGGCACAGGCCGCGGCUGCACCACCCGGCCCAGGGCUUCGCCGCCGGGGCCCCCUAUCCCUCCUCCGCCUCGCUCCGCAGCUGCCGGGAAAGCAAGAUGUCUCGCAGGAAGGGCCCUCAGCACCCUCCGCUGCUCGGCAGCCUCGAGGAGCCCGGGGGAGAAACGCUCCAAGUUUAUCAAGUCUUCAGUAAGUUAAUUGAAUCCCAUUAGAAGACCGCAAGUCAGGCAGCUUCAAAACUUAAAAAAGGAAAAAUUUUAAAAAACCAACAACUGUAACAAAAAAGCAUUUAAAUAUUAGGAUACUGACGGAUGAUAUG
rnacentral:lncRNA from 1 species